rnacentral:tRNA from 1 species
CGUUCUAUGGCCGAAUUGGUAAAGGCGUCGCCGAUCACAGGCGAGGUUGUGGGUUCGAGUCCCGCUGGAACGA